GAUGAACGCUGGCGGCGUGCCUAAUACAUGCAAGUCGAGCGAACAGAUGAGAAGCUUGCUUCUCUGAUGUUAGCGGCGGACGGGUGAGUAACACGUGGGUAACCUACCUAUAAGACUGGGAUAACUCCGGGAAACCGGGGCUAAUACCGGAUAAUAUAUUGAACCGCAUGAUUCAAUGUUGAAAGACGGUUUCGGCUGUCACUUAUAGAUGGACCCGCGCCGUAUUAGCUAGUUGGUAAGGUAACGGCUUACCAAGGCAACGAUACGUAGCCGACCUGAGAGGGUGAUCGGCCACACUGGAACUGAGACACGGUCCAGACUCCUACGGGAGGCAGCAGUAGGGAAUCUUCCGCAAUGGGCGAAAGCCUGACGGAGCAACGCCGCGUGAGUGAUGAAGGUCUUAGGAUCGUAAAACUCUGUUGUUAGGGAAGAACAAAUUUGUUAGUAACUGAACAAGUCUUGACGGUACCUAACCAGAAAGCCACGGCUAACUACGUGCCGGCAGCCGCGGUAAUACGUAGGUGGCAAGCGUUAUCCGGAAUUAUUGGGCGUAAAGCGCGCGUAGGCGGUUUCUUAAGUCUGAUGUGAAAGCCCACGGCUCAACCGUGGAGGGUCAUUGGAAACUGGGGAACUUGAGUGCAGAAGAGGAGAGUGGAAUUCCAUGUGUAGCGGUGAAAUGCGCAGAGAUAUGGAGGAACACCAGUGGCGAAGGCGGCUCUCUGGUCUGUAACUGACGCUGAUGUGCGAAAGCGUGGGGAUCAAACAGGAUUAGAUACCCUGGUAGUCCACGCCGUAAACGAUGAGUGCUAAGUGUUAGGGGGUUUCCGCCCCUUAGUGCUGCAGCUAACGCAUUAAGCACUCCGCCUGGGGAGUACGACCGCAAGGUUGAAACUCAAAGGAAUUGACGGGGACCCGCACAAGCGGUGGAGCAUGUGGUUUAAUUCGAAGCAACGCGAAGAACCUUACCAAAUCUUGACAUCCUUUGACCGCUCUAGAGAUAGAGUUUUCCCCUCCGGGGGACAAAGUGACAGGUGGUGCAUGGUUGUCGUCAGCUCGUGUCGUGAGAUGUUGGGUUAAGUCCCGCAACGAGCGCAACCCUUAAGCUUAGUUGCCAUCAUUAAGUUGGGCACUCUAGGUUGACUGCCGGUGACAAACCGGAGGAAGGUGGGGAUGACGUCAAAUCAUCAUGCCCCUUAUGAUUUGGGCUACACACGUGCUACAAUGGAUAAUACAAAGGGCAGCGAACCCGCGAGGUCAAGCAAAUCCAUAAAAUUAUUCUCAGUUCGGAUUGUAGUCUGCAACUCGACUACAUGAAGCUGGAAUCGCUAGUAAUCGUAGAUCAGCAUGCUACGGUGAAUACGUUCCCGGGUCUUGUACACACCGCCCGUCACACCACGAGAGUUUGUAACACCCGAAGCCGGUGGAGUAACCUUUUAUUAGGAGCUAGCCGUCGAAGGUGGGACAGAUGAUUGGGGUGA
rnacentral:rRNA from 1 species